CCCUAUUUAUUUUGACAUGCAGCCUAUCCACAUUAGCAGGACUGCCACGUCAGCGUUUAUUUAGAGACUUAUAAGCGAGACCCAGCACAAUAGAAAACAGACAUGUUGGCUUCAGUUUACUGCUUUUUUUGAGACACUGUUUACUGCUGUUUGGUCCCACGAUAGAGCCUCCCCACAGACUAAUCCAGUCCAACCCAUCUCCCCCGCUUUCCCGGACUAAAUUUUGGUGGGCCGCCCGCCCAGGACCCAGGAUGGUCUCACAAGCAGGAUCGGUGGGCCGGCCACCUCAGCAAACUAAAAUUCGCAACCAAUAUAUUUUAUUUCCACCGAGGCGUUAUUGGCUCGAGGACACGCACGCUGGCUCUGUUCGGCUCAAUUCGUUUGCCAGAAUCUGGGGAUUCUUCCAGAAUCCGACCCCUACCCAGCUUCUCCCAGAAUCCUUGAGCCCCAUUUGUUUUACAAUCCUAUCUAGUUAGGGUCUAAUUAAAUAGGAUUGUAAAAUAAAUGAGACUUAAGGAUUCUGGGAGUAGCUGGUAGGGAUCGGAUUCUGAGAGAAUCUCGAGAAUCUGGCAAAAGAACUGGGUCUUCAUCUCCUCCAUUAUUUCCCCCUCUUCCUCUCCUAGGUCCACUCAUCUAAACAAAUCCUCGCAUUGAUUCUUUGAUAGUGGUUCGGUUCGUCUCCCCUCAAUCAAUACUCUCUGCCUCAACUAUAACAAGUCACCCACAAAGAUGACGGAACUGCCGUUUCGCGCCGCCGCCAACCAAACCUUCGCGGGCCAUCCCCACCGGAGAACCGCGAGAUGCUGACCCGGAGUCCAAUGAUUGACACCGUCGCACGGCCGAACUGUAUCGGAGGACCAGCUCAGUUGCACCAGAUCACACCCCAGUAGAGAACUGCGCUGCAACAUCCGCUCCCUCAUGCGCAUCAUGCCACGGAUCCAGCGGCCGGGGACGCGAGGCUACGUCGGGGUGCCCGCCAAUCGGGCCGGCGGCUGCAUCGCGGUGGAUCAGCUGACCUCGCCGGCGUUAAGGUGUGGGCUCCGCGGGCCCAAGACUCACGCCCCGGCAUCGAAUCUGGCACCCAGCGACGCACACUUGCCACCGCUGACAUCCUCCUCCAACAUCACCUCGGCCAGAGUGCAGAGUGAAGUUUCUCCAGCAUACUCCCUGGAUAUACUAAUGUGAUGGCAAAUAAGGGUGCUGGUGUGUUUCUGCUUUGUUGGCAGGUGAUACGAUUUUUUUAUCUAUACUAGAAUCGGAAUUGAUGUUCAGUGUUCAACCAUGCAUGUGUACUUACAAUAAAACAGUCUUCUCUAAAUUAAGCACAUGGAUAUUAUCUGUUCAAACCUAAAGCUUCACCUGGUAAAUGUAAGUGUCUAAUUAAAUAGUGGCUUGCCAAUUAUUCAAUCAAAAUGUUGAAUUUA